UAGAUAGAUAGAUAGAUAGAUAGAUAGAUAGAUAGAUAGAUAGAUAGAUAGAUAGAUAGAUAGAUAGAUAGAUAGAUAGAUAGAUAGAUAGAUCACAGCACAACAACACAGGACAAGACAAAACAGAAACCCAGGGCGCAUAAGAAAAUAUGCAAUAACAAACAUUCAAAAAGGCACUAGUGUGUGUGGAGUAUGGAGAUGAGUCACAUAAUGGAAUUCAAUGGUACACUUGUUUUCUGUACACCCCUUAUGUUCUAAAUUGAAUUGCCCACCCCAAAAAAUCACCACAAUUUUUAACCAGCUAAAACAGCCUGAACAACUGGUUAAAACCCUUUCAAAAGCAGAUGCAACCAAAGUCAUACGAAGAGUGAACCUGAGGUUUCAUCUGUAGCCCAAGCAUUAUGUAUAUUUUAUGUAAUUUAAAUUCAACAGAAUUAAUUAUAUUUUUUUAUUUGAAUUAUUUUUCCGGUUGUAUUGCCUUGUGCUUAGAAAUAUAUUUUUAUUGAAAUUUGUAUUAACCUCAUGCUUGGAUUCUUAAGCAUGUUUGGGUAUAACAGAUUGAAUCAUCAGUCAAAUCACUUUGUCAUUCAUCGUCUUUGCAUACAACAUGGAUUGAGAUAAAAUUGGUUAUUCUUUAAUUUACGUCUUAAUAUUGGGUCUUUAGUGUCAUUUCCAUGUAUCCAUAUGGAUCGUCUGGUUAAUCACAGGGCUAAGCAGUUCACAGUUGUUCAGAAAGUUUGGGUUGAUACGAUUUUUUCAAACAAUUAUAUUUUAUGGAGCACAUGUUUUUUUUUCUUAUUAUCAGUGUUCUAUUAUUAAAAUGAAGGCCUUAAUAUCAAAACUUUUAUUGCAUUGUGGAUCGCAAUGAUACUGGAAUGUUAUUGGUAAUAAUUUUGUUUUGGCCAUGGUCAUUAGUCAUUGUUAAGACAGCAUGACAUGAUUUGUCAUUAUGGGGAUAUAUUGAUCUGUUUAACACUGCCAAAGCGCGUCCUAUGUGAGACAUGGCAAAACAACGUUUUCAUUAGCCUUUUAGGUUACAUUAUAUUUACGUUGAUAUGGGAGUUUACAGUCGACAACUCUCUCAAUGCAUAGCAGAAUAGUAGUAUCACCAACAAAGAGUGAUACAUUCUGAUGUAAAACCGUAUACUGUGUUUAUUUAGGAGACUUACCAAGCUGAUAAAAUUUAUGUUUGUAAUAAACCAGUCAAAUUGAGUAUUUUACAACAGAAGGCGUUUCACAAUGACCAAUUUUACACUCCAGCUGUUCUACUUUAGCCUUGCAUCGCCAGACGAAUUGCAAACUGCAAUGGAACCUCUCGGUUCAUGUUAGAGUUCCAAAAAGCAUCCCCAAGGGGCGCAGACAACAAUGCCUCUGGAUGCAAUUAGAUAUGCCUACAACCAAUCAGAGCAAAGAUACGGGUGACGCAGCACUGAGCAACGAAAUGCCAUAUUUCUUCUCACUAAAGUGUUAAGUUCAGUUGGUUGUUCUUCUUUUAGUGAAAAUAUACAUUCCAGUUUGUUUAACACGGUGUCGAUAAUGAAAAGACUGCCUAUAUCAACGACAGCCAUCUUUGUUGUUGCCUCUACGGUGCUCCUCUGCCCUUUCAUCGUAAUAAUCCCAUCUCAUGUUAGAUAAAUGGUUGUGUUUGGGCUGUCUAUCUCGUACCCGGCAGAAAUCGUUGUGUAUGGGAGGGGAGCCUGACAUAAUCUGCAGAGCAAAUGAAACAUGAGCUCGCAAGAUUUGUUUGGUUACCAGGCAAGUUAUACUUUGUGAUUAGCGUUUUAAUAUUACAACUUAUCUCUGUCCUUCUUUAAUUUGGCACAAGAGAAGGACGAUGAAGGGAACUUAUUCAAAAGUGCUUUGUUUUCUGCUCAACCUGCUUGCCGACGUGCCGCCCAGACCUAAUUUGCUUGGCUCAUCAUUAGGUCUGGUAGGUCCUCAAUCGGCAGUGUAUUUGCUUAUAGGUGUCAUCAAUCAACCUCACUUUACACUCCAUUUGAUUAGCUUCAGCCAGCAGGAUCCCGAGGGCUGUAAGGUAAACAUAGUAAGACUAAUGUUACCCCUACCCCUAAUGUUACCUAAUUUCAUCAAAGUUAUAAUGUACUGUGUUCAAGUAAAACAAAUUUGAUAAAAAUCAG
ensembl:lncRNA